rnacentral:rRNA from 1 species
GAUGAACGCUGGCGGCGUGCCUAAUACAUGCAAGUCGAGCGAACAGACGAGGAGCUUGCUCCUCUGACGUUAGCGGCGGACGGGUGAGUAACACGAGGAUAACCUACCUAUAAGACUGGGAUAACUUCGGGAAACCGGUGCUAAUACCGGAUAAUAUAUUGAACCGCAGUGUUCAAUAGUGAAAGGCGGUUUUGGUGUCGCUUAUCGAUGGAUCCGCGCGGCAGUAGCUGGUUGGUAAGGUAACGGCUUACCAAGGCAACGAUGGGUAGCCGAGCUGAGAGGGGGAUCGGCCACCCGGGAACGGAGACACGGUCCAGACUCCUACGGGAGGCAGCAGUAGGGAAUCGUACGCAAUGGGCGAAAGCCUGACGGAGCAACGCCGCGUGAGUGAUGAAGGUCUUCGGAUCGUAAAACCCUGUUAUUAGGGAAGAACAAAUGUGUAAGUAACUAUGCACGUAGUGACGGUACCUAAUCAGAAAGCCACGGCUAACUACGUG